rnacentral:tRNA from 1 species
GGGGAUUUAGCUCAGCAGCCCAAAGCACCUGCCUUGCAAGCAGGCAGGGGGUCGUGAGUUCGAUCCCCG